ACUCCUACGGGAGGCAGCAGUGGGGAAUAUUGCACAAUGGGCGAAAGCCUGAUGCAGCAACGCCGCGUGAGGGAUGACGGCCUUCGGGUUGUAAACCUCUUUUAGUAGGGAAGAAGCGCAAGUGACGGUACCUACAGAAAAAGCACCGGCUAACUACGUGCCAGCAGCCGCGGUAAU
rnacentral:rRNA from 1 species